AUUACUCGUUUUUUCUUAUCUCUUCCUUUCUUUCUCUCUUUCUCUUCUAUUUUCUUUCUCUGGCGGAAUCAAUUCACCAGAACUGAUAUCGAUUAUAAGUGAACGAUUUAUAGAAGAUUAUUAGUUUGAUUAAUCGAGUAAGGAGGUGUGGUACUGGUGUUGGUUAGCUCUGGAAGUGGAUGAAGAUGAUACUACUGUAAAUCGAAGUUUGGGUUCUGAAAUUAGGGUUUAUAUAGAACCAGUAGAUGCUUAGAGUAGCAUAUUGAUAAAGAAAAAAGGGGUAUUUGGUCGAUUGAUGCUUUGUCGUUGUUUAAGAAAGAAAUUGAAUAAGUGAUUGAGGAAUUGAGAAAACAGUGAACUUAGGGUUUGGGGGAAAUACAGAUGAAGAACUGGAAGAUGAAAUUGAGGGUUUAAGUGACAGUUUAGAGAUGGGUUUGUCAUGAAUUAUGUUCAAGAUUAAAGAAUUACUUGAGAUUGGUAGUCGAGGUUCGGGGCUUGAUAUAUUUGAAGAUGUUGAUUGAUGUUUUGAGUUCGAAUUAGAGAAAUAGAGGAUUGGAAAUUUGUUAGGAUUUUCAUAGAACCAUUGAAGGUUUUGAAGGUUAUUGAAUUUAUUGAUGAGUUGUGAUGAGUUGCUGAAUUGAAUCCAGGGGAAGAAGAGAUUGUAUCGAGGUAAGAGUUCUUAGCUAAUUUAGUUUAGUAUUCAUUUUAGUUUUCAAUUCUUGUUGUUGUGGACGUUAUAAGAAUUGAGAAAGGAGUUACUAUGGAUGUGGAAUUAUAAUCAUUGUUAGUGAUGAUGUUAAACUAGUAGGAAGAUUGCUAAGUUGCAGAGAAUGGAUAAGUGCGGGAAUGUCACUGGAAACGAGUUUUAGCAAUGGAAGGAUGUUGUUGAAUAUGGUGGAUGUUUGCUAGUGAUUGUGGGUUGUUGUUGUGAUAUUUUAGAAUGCAGGGAAGAUUUGAGAUGGGUUGGUGAGUAAGAAAUAGAAUCAUGAGUGUUUAGGGUGUAUCUUGAAUUACACCGAAUAAAGAUGAUGCAUGGAUUGAACUGUGUUUUAGAAUUGUUAAUGAGAUGAGGGGCAGAGGAGAAGAUUUGGUGUUUGAAGUGAAGAACAUGUAUGUGUUGUCUGUGUAUUUGAAGAUGUAUAAUAUUGUGAGUUGGUUAUGGAGUCUGUGAAGAUGUAAUUGUGAAUGAGUUAGUAGUCUUGGUAUUGGAAGAGGCCGAGUCUAGUUGAACUGAUGAGACAUUGCAGGUCAGUUGAAGAUGUAUUAUUUCAGUAAGAAAUGGGAGGAACAUAUGGAUUGAAAUUACAGGGAUAAGGGUUAGCUAUUGUUGGUGGUGUAAGUAGUGGCAGAUUCAUGAACUGGUUGUGUUGUUUGUUGAAUUGUUUGAAUUGAGAUACAGCUGUGACUGUUGGGAAUGGAAUGAAAUCAGGUGAACUGAUGUUGAUGUUGUUGUUGUUGGAGGUUUUAUCUCUGACUUUGCAGUUGAGCUGUUGAGUUUUAGCAGUGGGGUUAGAGUAGUCAUUAGCCUGGCCACAACUGAUGGAUUAUGUUUGUAGAAUGAAUGUUGCCUGGGAUUAGAAUUGCAAGUGGUAGUAAUCUGAGAUUGUAUGAAUGAGUUGAUAUGUGAUUGAAGAUUUUUAUCGAGGGUUAGAUGAAUCUGUUGAGAUGAUCUAUCUAUGGCUUAAGGCUGCAAUUGCUGUUAGUUAUUAACAACGACCAAUUCAAAGGAUGAACCAGUGGAUUGUGGAUCUCGAGGUAGGCGAGGCUUGUCAUCAAAAGAGUUUCAGAGACAGAUCAAGAUGUGCAUGUGACGAUGAAAGCUUCGAAGAAUUAUUUACGUUAGCUAGUUGGCUUCCGCGGUGUUUAUUCUGUGUUUAUGUUCUAUUUGUAAAUCAACUCACUAUUGACUAUGUAUCAUUUGAUAGGAAUUCUUAUAUAUAUUUAUUUCAGAGU